rnacentral:lncRNA from 10 species
GAAGCCCGCCCCCACGUUUCCGGGAGCCCGGCGGACGCUGGGUCUGCAGAUGCCAUCCAGGCGCACGGCGGGUAUAGUGGUUCCGCAACCUUGGGAUGUUCGGCUGAGCGCCUGCCUAACAUGGGAGCGCCUGCCUAACCCUCCUGACUGGAGGGUCAGCGGCGGGGAGUCCUGGCCUUCAAUCGGCCAUCGCCACGGCAGAAACUGGGGCCCGGGCUGCGUCCAGGCCCUUCCCCGUCCGUCCACAGGUCUCAUGGGCGCCCGGACUGGGGCUGAUGUAGUUUCCCGACCUCUGACACAUAGGAUCUGGAGAUUAAAGCUGCUCUGCUAAUAAUUAGGUUCCCACCUCUCAAGAUCAUUAGGAGCUUCUUUUCCAAUUCCUCUGUUUUGCAUGCAUUGGAAGGCCCCUGGAUCCUCCUGGAAUCCCUGAUCCCUGUUGCUCCCUGGCGGAGUUUUCUAGUCCCUCUUACUUGAAGCAUGUCUUUCAGAGCCCGGCACCACCCAAGUUGGGUAUCUGGCGAAGGGAUGUUGGAAGACAUUCUGGAAGGGGUGGGGUGUGAAGAUUUACAAAUAAUCUUUGAAUAUCUGCUUCAUGAUAGGUCUUGGAGGUGCCUUGUGGGUGUGGCUUUGGGGGGAUGGUUACGAGGAAAUUGUGGAUAUUAAGGAAGUCAGGAAAGGAAAAGAUCAGUCACAAUUCAACAAUUCAGAGAAAGCUCCUAAGGGACUUUCUGGCUGCUUGAUGCCCAGAGGCCAGGCCCUCACUUCGUAUUAAGGCUCAGGACUGUGGAUAGAGAAUUUAAAGGGGCACCAAAAAAACAUUAAAAUAGAUAAACAUAUUUUUAAUGGAAUACCUUUAAAAAUGCAAAUCAAUGCACAAAGAAAACGCCCA